rnacentral:misc_RNA from 1 species
GAUGAAGAACGUAGCGAAAUGCGAUAAGUAAUGCGAAUUGCAGAAUUCAGUGAGUCAUCGAAUCUUUGAACGCACAUUGCGCCCUGUGGUAUUCCGCAGGGCAUGCCUGUUCGAGCGUCAUUUCAACCCUCAAGCCCCGCUUGGUGUUGGGCCCCGCCCGCUGUGGCCGGCCCUAAAGACAGUGGCGGCGCCGCCUGGCCCUCAGCGUAGUACAUCUCUCGCUCCAGGGUCCGGCGGCCGCCUGCCAGAACCCCCCAACUCUGUGGUUGACCUCGGAUCAGGUAGGGAUACCCGCUGAACUUAAGCAUAUCAAUAAGCGGAGGA